rnacentral:rRNA from 1 species
GACGAACGCUGGCGGCGCGCUUAACACAUGCAAGUCGAACGGAAAGGCCUGCUUUCCCUUGUGGAUUGCGGGUACUCGAGUGGCGAACGGGUGAGUAACACGUGAGUGAUCUGCCCCCAACUUGGGUAUAAGCCUGGGAAACUGGGUCUAAUUCCCGAUAGGACUGCAGGGUGGUGCCUGUGGUGGAAAACGAUUUUCUAGUGGUUGGGGAUGAGCUCGCGGCCUAUCAGCUUGUUGGUGGGGUAAUGGCCUACCAAGGCGGCGACGGGUAGCCGGCCUGGGAGGGUGGACGGGCACAUUGGGACUGAGAUACGGCCCAGACUCCUACGGGAGGCAGCAGUAGGGAAUAUUGCACAAUGGGCGGAAGCCUGAUGCAGCGACGCCGCGUGGGGGAUGACGGCCUUCGGGUUGUAAACUCCUUUCGACCGCGAGGAAGCCACCUGGUUGGAAGGGUGGUGACGGUAGUGGUAGAAGAAGCACCGGCUAACUACGUG